CAGCACCUCAAGUGGUCAGGAUGAUUAUUGGGCCUAAAGCAUCCGUAGCCGGCUCUGUAAGUUUUCGGUUAAAUCUAUACGCUCAACGUACAGGCUGCCGGGAAUACUGCAGAGCUAGGGAGUGGGAGAGGUAGACGGUACUCGGUAGGAAGGGGUAAAAUCCUUUGAUCUAUUGAUGACCACCUGUGGCGAAGGCGGUCUACCAGAACACGUCCGACGGUGAGGGAUGAAAGCUGGGGGAGCAAACCGGAUUAGAUACCCGAGUAGUCC
rnacentral:rRNA from 1 species